CGCGCGCACCCCUUUACCUGCCCCAGGCGCCGGCACACAGCCGCACACGCCGCGCGCGCCGCCAUCUUGACGCCCUGACCCCACGAUCGCUUCCGGGGUCACAACGUUGUCCUCCGACCAUAGAGUUCGAUAACGAGAGAAAGAGAGAGAGAGUGUCUCCUUGUGUUCCGGCACUGAAACAACCAUAGAAACGUCUGUGUCCUGGGUCUUCAGUGGUUGCUGGGGAUAUGAGUGAAGAUUAACUUAAUGAGGAGACUACAUAGAAUCUCACUAAACCACCGUGCAAACGUAAAGUUGUGUCUCCCACAAGCAAGCAUUGCUCGCCUCAGUUGGCAGACGAGAUCUAGAAUGACUUGGUCCAGAAGGCGAAAACUGGCGAAAGAUCUGAGAGCAUGAACCACUUGCCUGCUCCUCGGGCUGUCCUCUGUGGCGGUAUGCCUAAGCCUCUCUAUGGAAACAGAGUCCUCAGUCGUAUUUGGCUGGAUUUGGCAAUGCCCUACCCGGGCAGGUAACCUGGAGGCAACCUUCUCAGAAUUAAGCUCUCUAAUUCAGGGUGGUCCCUCCCAGUCAACGGUCUGUUCUGACCGUACCCCGACCGUCAUCUCCCUGCUACUUCUCUCCGUGAGGUACCCUCCAGGGUGGCUCUUCAGUCAGCCGCCUGCCCUUCCGGAUGGUCUCAGGUGGGGAAACUGAGGCUCAGAGAUGAGUUGACUUGGCCAAGUUCAAAUGAUAUAAACCCACUGUCUACAGAAGUCACUGGACAGGCGAGAUACAGAGCCAGCAUUGACCCUGCAUCCAGUGUGGCCGAAAGAAGGAAUGAGUGAGCAGUGAGACUCAAAAGGCUUUCAGGUCUGGACCUCCUCACUGAGAUGACACACCCACAAAGCCUCUCCCUUCUCUAGUUUCCUUACCAUCACAUCACCUUUGGCCUCAAAGAGAGAGUGCAAAGCAAAUUCAGAAUUGGUCCCUCCGCCUGGCAGUGCACUGGAACAGCACAGGUUCAGAAGGUUCUCCACUGUUGAGAGUAAGAAGUCACUGCAUCAGGUUCUGUGCCAUGAAAAGCCACACCCAUCCUGGAGUCAGACGUCCCUGCUAGAGCAGCCACCCCGCUCCUCCUGCGUGCCCGUACCUUGUUGCUGGAGGGCCUGGUUUUCCAGCUCAGGCCACGGCUUCCACACUAGUGUGGCCUUGUGUGUGUCCUGAGCCAGGGCGGAGACAUCUUGCAGUUCUGGGAUCUCUGCUUGGAAUCUCAAGCCAAUGUUGAUGCGUCUUUAAGGACAAGAAAAACAGUGGGGUCUUGACUGUGAUGGCCUAGACCAGGGGCCACAGUCAGGAACCGAAGACAUGGGAAAGCAGUUCCUCCCACAAGAAGGAUGCCGGAGCAUCUCCUCGUGGCAUGGCCCUCCAAGUCCAGGCCUUGUCACUAGUACAGACAUCUUUAAUGCUGGGGGCUGGGGUAGGGGCAAGGCAGUCGUUUGCCUGGAGAGUCUCAGCUCCCUGAAACUGGAAUGGAAGACAGCUAAUUCCAAGAGAGGAGUUGCCUAGAACACAGAACUGGAAGUGGGCACGUGUGUGCAACAAUGUAAAAAUUUAUGUAUUUAUCCCUUCUAGACCUCUUUCCCAUAUAUUAUGUCAUCUAAGCUCACGAAGGUCUGUGAUAUGAACAAGGCAGUAAUCAUGGUUGGUUGGCAGCAAUCACGAUUGCCAUUCAAGGAACCAACGAAGGCGUUAGGAAACUGACCUAGUACAGAUCAAAACCAGAAUGGUGUCCACUCAAGCUUUCUGACUCUGGACUCUACAAAUUUCUGUAUCACGAGGCCCCUUUUCUAAGUUCAUUCAUGAGAUGAACCACUUUCUCUUCCAUGGUAAAGCAGUGCCUCUCUAUCGACAGCUAUCUGAGAUCAACUCAUGUUGGUAAAUAUUAGAUGGAAAAUCCAGAAAUAAACAAUUACUUCCACCAUUUUAAGCACUGUGAUGAAAUGACAAGCCAGCCCACUUUUACCUGCCUCAGGUGUGAACAACCCCGUGUCUAUCGUGUCUGCACUGAAUAAGACAGCUGCCUGUUACUCAGCCGGGAGCAGUCUUGAUGUUCCAGACAGACAUGUCUCGGGUACCAGAUGGAGGCACUGUAGUGAUUAUACGCACUAUCCCAGGUUUCAGGUACCCAGAGCUGGAGGUCUCAGAACGUCUAAGCCACCACUGUGUAUGGGUGCUGAACCUCCUUUAGGUCAUGAAUGAGACAAACACUCAACAAGCCCUUUGGAAGACUUCUACCUAAGCACCUCCAAGAGAGAGCCCCUCAAGGGGUUGGAGAGAUGGCCCAGGGGUAAGGGCACUGACUGCUCUUCAGGAGGACCCAGGUUCAAUUCCCAGCACCCACAUGGCCGCUCACAACUGUCUAACUCCAGUUCCAUGGGAUCCAGCAGUAAUGCACAUAAAAUUGAGGGGGGGCACAGUGUCACUGGGGAUAUGAACUAGUCCUAAGAAGACUCUGAAAUGCUAGCAGCUAUGAGGAAACAAUAGUACUCAAGAGAAGUCAUGUUCCUACCAUUUCCACAACUCUCCCCUCUCAGUGGCUACUGACUACAGAAGUACUAACUGCCCUUCUAGAAGCUUCCAGACCAUUUCUUAAUCUGAAGAAUAAUCGGCUUUUCCUUACGGUUCAACAUCCACAGUCUGCUCUCCAGGUCCUGGGGUGACUGUCACAUUGCUGCCAUCGAUGCUGCCUGAAACACAGAAACUAGGGUUUACUGGCCAACAAAGAAAACUUCCUAAGACAUGAGAACAAUGAGCGAUCAGCUGACCAGUAAUUAGCCAAUCGGCAAUAACAAGGCUCUUUCCUAGCCAACCCAAACCAAGUUCCAGAGGAUUGGAUGGAUACGUGGGGUUUCCUGUUUCUUUCUCUUCUCCUCCUCCUUCAGCCCCCGACAAGGGUCUUGAUCUUUAGCUCAGUUUGGUUUUGAACUUCCUGACCCCAGCUUUAUACCACAGCCUACCCAGUGCUUGGGACUACGGGAGCAAGAUAACUGUUUCUCACACAGUCUGAGGGAAAGUUGUCCUGCUACAUGGUUUCCAGGCAACCAGAAAGAAGCCUGCUACAAAGAUCUCUCUCCUCCCUUCCGUGCUCCCCAGCUCUGAGGAGAUGGAGUUUUCCUGUGCUGCCCCAGCCUUCUGCCUCAGUUUCCUGAGGUGUUGGAGUUACACUGUGUGCUGCCUACAGAGUCAGGAUUGGUUCUGUUAUUUUUUUAUAAAACAUGCUAAAUAUUAAGAUUUACUCUUGCCUAUAACACCCAAGGCCCCCCCAUUGACAUGUUAAAUAUUUA